CCCAUGGGUUGAAACAACAGUCCAUGGAAUGGAUUUGAAAGAUGCAGUGAAGGCCGGCUUCGAGCGACUUUUCAAAUAUUCACAGUUCAACAACGAUAAUGGGCAUUUGAUGAAAGUGAUGGCAGUAACCUUAGCAGCGAACAAUAUGAAGGCCGAGUGUUCCAACUGAUGAAGGCUUUGGAAGCAGACAACAGACCCUUUGACAAAAGUGUCUUUUACAUUGGUUGGUUUAAUGGACAGAGGCUAAUGGAAGUUGCCUUUCAAAAGGAAAUUUGAAAUUGUUCUGAUUCGGUCAGACAUCAAACAGUGAGGUGUGCUUAUUUCUAUUGUAUGGUUCUAAACAUUUUGAUCGCCCAUCGAGCACAUAUUGGAUUCAGUCUGUGUAUGUGUCAGUACUUGGUGUUUGAACAACUCCCCUCAUCUCCUCUUUUCAGACCCCGAUGGCCCUGUUAAUAAACACUGCCCUCCACCAGCAGUGAGAAGGAUUUGUCGCCAACCCACACUGCCUCAUUUUGACAUGGUGAGUUUUAUUCAGCUCUCUUAACUUCGACAGUCACGCGGGUUUUGCUCUUUCUGAAAUUGUUCUAAAUUCAGUAUUCAUAUUUUUUAAGUCUAAUUAUUUUAAGAAGCUUCUCUCUUGUGUGAGUUCAGUUCAAAGUGUGACAACAUAAUCCUGCGGAGGGAGAUCUUGAUUCACAUGGGGGACUGCGGUCCUGUCAUUACCCAAUUGAAAUAAAUUGCAUAGAAGACAAGGGUAAGGAAGUGACAGUGAAUUUUCUAAAGCAAUGGUGUGGCUUCAAAUAAUGUACUGCAUUCAUUUAUAAUGCAUGGAUUUGCAGAAGAGUGGAAAGGGUUUAGUGAUUCCUCUGAUGAUAUGACCUAAAAGUCUCCAUACUGCACAAAUACGUCAGACUAAUCCCAAUUGUACAUGGGUGGGAGAUCCUCUAUUGGGUGACAGGGAUUCAUGUAUUCAGCAAUUUUUCUUUUCGUUUGCUUGCUUUCAAUAAAUUGGCUCCAAACUGA